rnacentral:rRNA from 1 species
UACGUAGGAUGCGAGCGUUGUCCGGAUUUAUUGGGCGUAAAGAGAACGUAGGUGGUUUCUUAAGUUUGGUCUUAAAGACCGGGGCUCAACCCCGGGAAUGGAUCGAAUACUGGGAGACUAGAGGAUGUUAGAGGAAAGUGGAAUUCCAAGUGUAGCGGUGAAAUUCGUAGAUUAUUCGGAAGAACACCAGUGGCGAAGGCGACUCACUGGACAUGUAUUGACGCUG